AAUCCUGAGAGUUCACGAUUGAUAAUCUGACCCCAAACCCAAGCCUGACUGCAAAGUCUCCCCGAUAACCACGACAUCCUCCCCGUUUCCUGAAUCCAACUCAACCCGCUCGAGGCAAAGACGGCAGGGACUCAUGGUCUCUAACACGGCAAUAUAUAUCGGGACUCGCCCGAUCCAGGAGAGGCGCUGCCAAGCUGACGGACGCGUUCAUGUGAUCUUCCGUGCUGCGCCGACGAAGUGUUGCUCGCCGACAGAAGGAUGACUUUCGACACCCCGGCGAUCGACCACCUCUCGUCCAAUUGGCCGCCGCGUGCGCAGAUUGAGAAGGCUCAACAAAUAUUCUUUUUCUUAUCCAACGAGAACAUGUGAGUCGCUGCCUCCACCCUGCCGCUACGCGGGAGCAGCCGCCGGGUCUGCCGUCCAUCAGCUGCUCUACAUCCGCCAUCAAGUCCCAUCCCCGGUUUCCCACCACCGUGCCACAGCAGGCGUCCGCCGCUGUCGCGGCCAUGGGGAAGCUCAAGUCGGGGCCAGGUACUUCGAGAUUUUCCUCUGCGACGAGUUCGACGCGCCGUGGACCCGUGGUUCGACCUUGCCUGGAGGAAGCGACGGUGGAGGCCACCGCAACAACCGCACCCUCCUACGUCUGCAUAACCGAGGACGCAGAUGACGAUGGUGGAGAAACGGUGCCUAUCCUUCGUCCCUUAACCGUAUUAGGGAUGAGAGGACCUGCUAUUAUCCUGAGAAGCACGAGUUCACUGGAGCAAUGCUUUGAUCCUUGAAGAACUCAUCAGUGGACAAGAGGUUUCUUCCCUAAAGGUUCAGGUCGCUUGUGACCUGAAUAAUUUGCUUCUCCUUCUUGCUUCUGCCAUGUAAGAGUAAAUUUACUCUAUCUUUAUCUGGUUCAGCUCUCUAUUCAGUGUUCAUAUUUGUGUUAGCGGUAGAAUUUUAUAUUUUGUAUGCAUCAUUGCAUUUGCAGAUGAUUAAGAGAUUUGGCUUUCAGCUAUAUA